rnacentral:rRNA from 1 species
CUUGAAUAAAUAUAAGAGGUCCAGCCUGCCCAGUGACAAUGUUCAACGGCCGCGGUAUCCUAACCGUGCGAAGGUAGCGUAAUCACUUGUUCUUUAAAUAAGGACUAGUAUGAACGGCACCACGAAGGUUACACUGUCUCCUCUUUCUAAUCAGUGAAACUAAUCUCCCCGUGAAGAAGCGGGGAUAAAAAUAUAAGACGAGAAGACCCUAUGGAGCUUUAAACUACAAGGCACUUGCCCCCAUAUAAUCAAAUUCCAGAAAAUCAUUACCACCCAGGCAACAUGACCUUUAGUUUUAGGUUGGGGUGACCGCGGAGCAAAGAAAAACCUCCACAUUGAAAGGAGACCUCUCCUUAGCCAAGAGCCACACCUCUAAGCACCAACAAAAAGACAUUAAUUGACCCAAUAUUUUGAUCAACGAAC